rnacentral:lncRNA from 1 species
AAAGCCCACCUCCAACGACUACUUUUUUCACUAUAAAAACAACUCUUUUCCAUGCAGAAACACAAUCAAUCACUUCUUCUUCAUCUUUCCUCAAAAAUAAAAACAUUUUCUCCAAUUUGUUCUUCUUUAAUAAUUUGGAGAAAAAAAGUCUUAGCUAAGACUGAACAUUAUCCGGUGAAGAAUGGCGACUCCGGCAUGGAGUCAUGCCAAGGCUCAAUGGGUAGUCGCCAUGUUGGCGUUACUCGUUGGCUCGGCUAUGGCUACCGAACCUUAUUACUAUAGCUCUCCUCCACCACCGUAUGAGUAUAAAUCUCCACCUCCUCCGGUUAAAUCUCCUCCACCGCCUUAUGAAUAUAAAUCACCACCACCUCCGGUUAAGUCUCCUCCACCACCGUAUUACUAUCAUUCACCGCCGCCGCCAGUGAAAUCCCCUCCCCCUCCUUAUGUUUACAGCUCUCCUCCUCCUCCGGUGAAGUCCCCUCCUCCCCCAUACUACUACCAUUCACCGCCUCCUCCGGUGAAGUCUCCUCCUCCUCCAUACUACUACCAUUCACCACCUCCUCCGGUGAAAUCCCCACCACCACCAUAUUACUACCAUUCACCACCUCCUCCGGUGAAAUCCCCACCACCACCAUACUACUACCAUUCACCUCCUCCUCCUGUGAAAUCUCCUCCUCCUCCAUAUUAUUACCACUCCCCACCUCCUCCGGUGAAAUCCCCACCACCACCAUACCUUUACAGCUCUCCACCACCACCGGUAAAAUCUCCCCCACCUCCUGUCUACAUCUACGCUUCUCCCCCACCUCCCACACAUUACUAGGCUCAUCAAAUUCAACAAAAUUUCCCCAUUAUUCAAGUAAGUCCUAUACUUAUACCUUUACCUCAUAAUCCGUUUUAAUAAUUGUGCCCUAAAUAAAAUCGGAAUUUCUUCUUUCACAGGUUUUCUUUUAAAAAAUGAAAUAAAGGAAGGGUCAAAGUCAAAGAGAAGAAGAAGUGAACCAAAUAAGGAUCGUGGCGUGGAAAUCAGAAACAAAACAUCUCUAACAACGAUCCACAUCACUUCCUCUUCUUCAAUGUCGCUCAUCUUCCACUUGUGCAUCAUUAUCUUUGCGUCUUCGUCAAGUCAAAUUGUUUCCAAGACCCUUUUAGAUCGUAUCAUACUCCUCUUUGUUCCCUUUUGUUGUUAAGUGAAAAAAUGGGUUUUGGUAAUUUAAUUGUUGUGCAUACAUUUUCUAUUUUGUUAUUCUUCCGUUAAUGUAAUGAAAGAGUUGUUAGCAUAUAAAACAAAGUUCAGUUUCUUCUUUCUUUGGAUUAUGCGAUAUACAGUCAUAACAUUUUCUAUCUUAAAACAUAGUUCCAACGACAAAAGUAGUUCCAAUGACAAAGUUAAAAGACAUAUUCUUUUAGGUUGGGCACGACAUUGUUUCGAUCUGUUCGUCCAGAGAAAGUUAUCAUUGCUUCAAAAGGUGGGAAAGUGGAAGUAACACAUCACUUUGAUCUCAUUGGAUCAUUAAUAAUUGUGUUUAUGUAAUACGUCAGAGACUCACUUUCAUUCAACUAAUUUCCACCUACUCUUUUUGUUUCAACCUUAAAAAAAAAAAAUAUUGAGCAAUACUAUAUGCUUAAUACAAAACCAUUGACUAAAAUUAAAGAAUGUUGAAAUGAAUUAAUAUCAAAGUUAUAGUUUAUAUUCUUCUAUUUAAUCGAAACAUGGAACCAAACAAAAGCAAAUGAAAAGCAGCAAGUGCUGAAGAAUUGGUUCGAAAUAAGUGGAGUGGUUGUACUUUGGGCUUUGGGAUAGCAUUAGCUGAUUUUGAGGCCCAUUGGCUAAACGUAUUUGGUAAUUUGCCUCCAAUUUUUUUGUCACCGUCAUUUUGUUUGUUGUUUGGCAACGACACCUUCCAAACUUUAUCGUUAUGCUUAAGUUGAUUUUGAUAAAUUAAUUUGAUAAUGAUGAAGUGAAAUUCAAUGAAGCUAAUAAACACAAUUUUGAUAAAUUAAUUUGAUUUCAACAGUACUGAAAUAUAUAGUAUUAGGUCUAGUAGCUUCCAACUCCACUAGACAUAAAGCAAUUUUGUCCCAACAAAAGUUUUGGAAUAAAGCAUAUUGUAUCUUCUCAUUUCCAAACUGUAUAUGAGAAUAGAAACUUUAUAAAACUGGUUAGACCAAAGUAAUAAUUAUGUUGUUCUCAAUUAAACAGCUGUGAUUUUUCAAAUCCAAACAUUAUAUUGAUUUGGAGCGCCUUAAUAAUAUUCUCCGUGUUUAGUUGCGCUGUCUUAUUUGUAUUAUUCUUUUUUUUUUUCACUAUUUCAUUUUUAUUUAUUUAUUUUAUCUGUUGAAUUUUCUCUUCUGGCUGCUGUUUUCCUCUCUCUCUCUCUCUAAACUCGAGAAUUUUUGUAGAGAGAGGAGGCAAAGUGCGAAAGCUAAACGCAGAUCCACGAUCAAUCUCCUCCACCUUCAAAAGCCUUCAAAAGUGUUUCUUCUUCGUCUUCUUCCUUUUAUUAUCUGUGCCUUGACAGAUCCACGAUCCGAUUCUGGUCAAAUUUUACAUUUCUGCAGGUACGAUCUUAGCUCUUUUUGUUCUUUCAUGUUCAUUAUUCUUUUUCUGGAUCUAUUGUUUCCAUUUUUAAAUUUCCGGUUGAUUUUUUUAUCUUGUUCGAUGUGAUUCUAUUUUGUGGAGGGAUGUUAUUAGCUUUAAGAUCUGUGUGAGCUGCGUUUUUGAAUGUGAAUCUUCCUUUUUAUUCGAUUUUGAUUGUUACCGUUUGAAUUUUUAGUCUGCUUAGGAGUCGGAUUUUGUUGAUUUUGACUUCUUCUUUAUAUCCUUUAAUUGUUGCAAAAUUCGGAAAUUUUGUUACGAGCUGGGGAUUUUUUCCACUUCCUUGAGAUUGUUUUAGGGUGAAUCUGAACAAAGACAAAUUCGAUCAUUGCUGAUUGCUUUGUUGCCGUUCCUCAAUUCCAUGUAUCUGGCUCUUACGAUUGUGUAAUUGAAAUGAGAUUAUGAUGAAGAAUGAUUCGUUUGUUUCUUUUUGUUCUAUCUAUACAUUUGUGGUGAUAUAUAUAUAUAUCUUUGUUUGAAACGUUAAUAGAUAAGCUGCUCAUACUAGUUAUACAACAGACUCCAUAGAAGGUGACAUUUGUUUAAGAUACUCUUGUUCCUGGAACACAUACGAAGAUGAAGAAAGUCUUCGGACAAACUGUUAGAGACCUGUAAGUAUUUUCGUACCCGAAAUUUAAUGAUAUUCUCAAUCUGUGUGUGGUUUAUUUCUUUUUUCAUUGACGGGAUGCUUCAUUUUAUGUUCCAUUUAUUCAGUAAGAGAGAGGUCAACAAGAAAGUGCUCAAAGUUCCUGGAGUAGAACAGAAGGUAAUGGAUGCUCUUAGCUUCUUCUCUCUUUUUCUUCUUAUCAGAAAUUCUUCCGCAGCAGAGAUUUAGAUACUGUUUUCCAUUUUUAUGCUUGAGUUUAUCAAUUUCUUUAUUUGUUUCUAAAAGGCUUUUAUAAAUAGAGAGCUUAUCUUGGUUGCAUUCAUCGUCUUGCUAAACAAUGUAAAGCGAGAUAUCCAACUUUCUCUUAUCUUGUUUUGUCUGUGCUUUCUCUUAUUCAGGUUCUAGAUGCUACUAGUAAUGAGCCAUGGGGUCCACAUGGAUCACUUCUUGCUGAUCUUGCGCAAGCUUCCAGAAAUUAGUAACUACGACCACCUUCCAACUUGCUAUAUUUUGCUGCGAUUUUGGACAUUGCACAGGAAUUAUAAAAACAUGUUACUUCUAUUUCAGUCAUGAAUAUCAGCUGAUCAUGGUGGUCAUAUGGAAACGCCUUAGCGACACCGGAAAAAACUGGCGGCAUGUCUAUAAGGUAAACAAUAUUAUUGUCUUGCUGGCUUAAUUUGUGUUGAAUUUCUGUAGCAGUGACUAAAGUAUUUCAUGCUGUUUACCUCUUCUCUCUCCCCUUCAGGCUUUGACAGUUUUGGAGUACAUGGUAGGCCAUGGAUCAGAACGUGUUAUAGACGAGAUUAGAGAACGUGCAUAUCAAAUUUCGGUAAUGACUACCUUGAGUACAUUAUUUUGGAAGUAUUCAACAUCAAGAGAAUCCUUUAGUGCUAUAUCUCAGUAGUUGACUAUCUUACUUGUAUAUAUGUCUAUUUUCCUUGUGGCAGACAUUGUCCGAUUUUCAGUAUAUUGAUUCCGGUGGUAGAGAUCAAGGAAGCAAUGUUAGGAAGAAAUCACAGAGCCUGGUGGCUUUGGUGAAUGACAAGGAAAGAAUAGCUGAAGUCAGACAGAAGGCUGCUGCUAAUAGAGAUAAGUAAGUUUGCUUGUCAUUGUAUCUUUCUGGAACUGGUGGAUAGUUUUCUCUCUGUGUGAGUCUCGGUGGACACUCGUUUGAUUUCUUGUUGCUAGUGGCUUACAAUUGUUAUUAUGCUUCUCGGUAGUCUAUUAAUUGGUAGUACUGGCACUUUAACUGUAUUAGCUUCUGAAUUUUGAAAGUUUUUAUCUCGAGAAAAAAAAAUGACAUGUCUUUUGGUUCAUUCAAAAUAUGCUGAACAUAUCAACCUACAUUAUUUUACAACAGGUAUCGCAGCUCAGCACCAGGUGGGAUGUAUAAGCCUUCAGGCGGAUAUGGGGAUAAAUAUGAUUACGGAAGCCGGGAUGAAGAGCGAAGUAGUUAUGGAAGAGAAAGAGAAUAUGGUUACAGAGAUGAUGAUAGAAAUAGUCGUGAUGGAGAUCGUCAUUCCAGGGACUCUGAAGACCGGUAUGGGAGAGAUGGUAAUAGGGAUGAUGAUUACAGGGGAAGGAGCAGAAGUGUUGAUAACUAUGGGUCACGAGGUAGGAGUUCGGAAAGAGAGCGGGAGGAUGAUGGCCAUUCUUCAUCACGGUAUGUUAAAUUUCAAGUCGCCUAAAUCCUGAAAUAAAAAAGGAAGGGGAAAAUUUUGAAGAUUAUCAACUCCAUUUGGAUAGAAUAUUUUUAUUUUGAAUACUAGCGUAGAUGUCCUUGAUUUUAAAAAUCAUUUCGAACCGCAAUCUUCUUAGUCUAGUUCCAUUUUCAAAUUUUAAAUGGAUACACUCCUUUUUGUCCUGUAGGGGCAGUGGUGCUCGAGCUGAUGAUAAUUCUCAGGAUGGGAGGUAAUUUCUGAUAAAUUUCUACUGAAGUUUAGGCAUUCUUUUAUUGUAUGACAACUCAUCUCACCUUCUUUCGGGAUUAUAAUGGUAGAGGGGGGCUCCAGAGGAAGUUUUCUGAACAAAAUAUUGGCGCUCCACCCAGUUAUGAAGAAGCUGUCAGUGAUUCACGCAGCCCUGUAUAUAGUGAAAGGUGAUCAUUUUCUGCUUUGAAAAUUGAAAGCUACCUUGGUUUUUAUUGGUGCUGAUGAAUCUUUCUAUGCCAGGGAUGGUGGGGAGACCCCACAAGUUACCGCUCCAGGAGCUGCUUCUCCUCCUCCCCCACAAGUUGCUGCUCCAGAGGCUGCUUCUCCUCCAACUGGAACCAACACAGCCAAUACAACUGCUACUUUUGUUAAUGAAUCACCUUCUCAGAAAGUUGAGACUUUCGAUGAAUUUGAUCCACGCAGUGCGUUUUCAGGUACAGAAUACUCAAACUCUUGCAAUUCUUUAGUUGUAUCUUGAGAUAUUUUCUUAGUUUUUCAAACUCCUCGGCAGCAUAGAGAUUACAUGAAAAUCUUUAAUCAAUAACUAUAACUAAUUCAGUAAAUGUUUCAAGGCUUAGUUGGAGGGUGUAUGAUUGUAUUCUCAUGUCUGUAUGGUAUAUUUCUAUCCCAUUAAACUCUGCUUGUUCUGAGUGUGGCCGUUGUGUUCCUUUACUUUUCCAGCUGGCCCUCCAGCAUAUGCAUCUACAGAUGGUGUUACAGCUCCUCCAACUGUGACUUCUAUGUCUGCCCCUACCACCUCAAACAGUGUUGAGAUGGACUUGCUUGGUUCCCUUGCAGACGUAUUUUCAUCAAACGCAUUGGCCAUUGUACCAGCUGAUUCUAUCUAUGUUGAAACCAAUGGACAAGCAAACGCUGGUCCAGCUCCAUCGUUUUCUACAUCUCAGCCAUCAACUCAGGUAUAUACACUGAGCUUGGAGUAUGAAGAUUAUGAUGGUUUCCUAUGAUUAUUGAUGACUGUUGUUUGGAUUAUGCAGUCAUUUGAUGACCCAUUUGGUGACUCUCCUUUCAAGGCCUUCACUUCUACUGACACCGACUCAACCCCACAGCAGAAUUUUGGAGCUUCUUUCCAGCCACCACCUCCAGCCUUCACUUCAGAGGUCUCACAUCCUGAUACUGCUCAUAACUUUGGCUUUGGGGACUCAUUUUCCGCCGUUGCCAAUCCUGAUCCUGCUUCUCAGAAUGUGCAACCUCCAUCGAACUCACCAGGUUUUCCUCAAGAGCAAUUUGCUACAUCUCAGAGUGGUAUUGAUAUCCUCGCUGGCAUUCUCCCACCAUCUGGACCUCCAGUACAAUCGGGUCCCUCAAUACCAACAUCUCAAUUUCCUCCCAGUGGAAACAACAUGUACGAGGGAUUUCAUUCUCAGCCGCCGGUAUCUACAGCUCCAAACCUGCCUGGACAAACUCCAUUUGGACAAGCUGUUCAACCAUAUAACAUGGUUCCUCAUUCUCAAAAUAUGACUGGAGCCAUGCCAUUUAAUAGUGGAGGCUUCAUGCACCAGCCGGGCUCACAAACUCCUUACUCUACCCCAAGUGGACCAGCUGGUCAGUUCAUGGCACACCAAGGUCAUGGAAUGCCGCCAUCCCAUGGUCCACAACGAACUCAAUCCGGACCUGUUACUCUGCAAGGGAACAACAAUGUCAUGGGAGACAUGUUCUCGCAAGCUACGCCCAACUCCUUGACGUCAUCAUCAUCUCAUCCAGAUCUCACACCUUUAACAGGAGCAAUUGAGAUUGUUCCUCCGCCUCAGAAAAAGUUUGAGCCAAAAUCAUCAGUCUGGGCAGACACGUUGAGCAGGGGGCUUGUUAACUUUAACAUAUCUGGAUGUAAGAUAGAUUUCACCAUACCAUUUAAGGAAAAAAAAACGUCUUUAGCAAACUUUCUAACAUUGUUUUUGUUUUUCUACUUAUCGCAGCUAAAACAAAUCCAUUGGCAGACAUAGGAGUUGACUUCGAGGCGAUCAACAGGAGAGAGAAACGGCUGGAGAAACAAACAAACACACCAGCAACAUCGACUAUCAAUAUGGGUAAAGCCAUGGGAUCAGGCACUGGCUUAGGGCGUUCUGGUGCAACUGCUAUGAGACCUCCACCUAAUCCAAUGACAGGCUCUGGCAUGCCCAUGGGCGGAGGAAUGGGUGUUGGUAGCUACGGAGGUAUGAACCAGAACCAACCCAUGGGUAUGGGUAUGGGGGCCGGAAUGAACCAAAACCAACCGAUGGGUAUGGGAAUGGGACCCGGCAUGAACAUGAACAUGAACAUGGGAGGAUAUGGCCAAGGCUAUCCGAUGCAACCACAAAACCCAGGGAUGGUACCUAGCCCAAACAUGCCUGGCAAUAACUACAAUCCGAUGAUGGGUCAAGGUGGUUACAACCCUCAACAAUCCUAUGGUGGUGGAUACCGGUAAGAUCAAGCCAAACAUGAUGCACUUGACUUCAUUCGUGUAAUCAAGAAUACGCUCGCCUGUGCUUUUUCUUUACUCUGGGAUAUGUAAUAUCAGUCGAUAAAAGUACUCAGGUUACAUUAUUCAUCCAGGCAACACGGCUCCACGAAUUUUCUUCUCUGUUUGUUCUUGCCUUACUCGUCACUCAUCAUUCAUUUUUAUUUUUUUCUGGUUUGGACCAAAUUGAGAGCUUGUUGUGAAAUUUGUACCAGUGUGAGAGUGGCAAACCUUGCUCGGGUCUGCCCUUUUUUUGUUAUAUGCAUAUAAUUUGAUAUAUACACAUUCACUUCUAUUUCUUUAUUUUGAAGAUGUGUAAUACAUUUCUCAUUCACGGAACAAAUAAAAUCUUUACAUUUUUGUAUUCUCUUUUUAAAUGUUUCCCGGCUGUAUUUACUUUUUCUUCACUAGGUGUGUGUCAUUCUAGAAAGACUUGGAUUCUGUCACCUGCAGUGUCUUUAAAAUCUAACAAAAUUUUCCCUCCGACCUCAUCUGCUGCAUCGUCCAUCAAUUGCUUCAAGUUCACGCCUCCUAAAGCUGCGAAUUUUUUGAGGAUCUGUCAAUAACUAUGCCUAAGAAAACUGAAACAGAAUAAGAGAGACUUAGGAGUUUUUGAAUACCUGGAACAAUGUUUGUGACACCUUCCAAGAAUCCGGCCUGUUCCAACCAUAAGACAAGUUUUGCAUCAGCUCAGAUAAAACACGAAAAAUGGCCCUCGAAAGUGGACUUACCGGAAUUCUGACAUCGAGUUUCUCAAACCCAUCGCGUCCGAUGAUUUUGAUCCUCAAAGAUCGUGACCAGAUCCGCGAAAAGGGGUUUCUUGGUUCAUUAUAAACCUCAGGUGUUAUGACUUCAACAAUCAGGUCCUCUCUCUGUUCUGGAUCAUCUUUAGCCACCCGUUGAUUACGAUAGACGCUACUGCUGCUCACUUCUUGAAAAGGAUAAAACAUAUAUUUAGUUAUUGAUUUGACAUUUCCCAAAGAUGUUACAACUGAAAACUUCCAUGUCUCACCUCUAUCUGAUGACGAGGUAGCGUACCGCUUCUCUUCUUCCUCGUAAGUGUCAAAACCAAGAAUCUCUCCAAUUUCUUCUAAAGACGCCAUGCUUCCUGGUGGAGGAAUUCGCCCACCCUUGAUUGCCAAUAGAGCGUCCUGCAAGUGUUCCACAUAGUUCUUAAGUCUCUUUGCCACCACAGUGAAGUCAACACAUUAUUGGCAGAAACAGAAAGAUUGUGACCUGCAUUGCUUGAAUAGAUACUCCAAUCAAUGAAAUUGGAUACGCCACUAGCUUAUAUCCAAUCUCUUCUAGCUCCAGCGGGUUUAGAAUUGGAAUUUUUCCUCCGCUUUCAAGCAUAUUAGCCUACACAGACCACAAAAAUGUAUCUUCGUAUCUCCAGGGAAUAUAUCAAGAUACAGAAAGAGUAGUUUCCGGCGCAAAGUGAAGUUACCAAUUUAGGAACUAGUGGAUAGACAUUGCAGAAUGCUUUCAUCUCUUCUCUAGAAACAAGAGAAUCAACGGAGAGAACAUCAGCUCCAGCAUCUGUAAAAGCUCUUGCCCUAAUGAGUGAUUCCUCCAGAGAUAUCGCUUCACGGGAAUCAGUUUGAGCUACAAUUACAAUGUCCGAAUCACACUCUCUACGUGCAUCAACCGCAGCUUUAACACGCAUCACUGCUUCCUCUCUAGAAACCACUCUUCUCUCACUCUUAGUAUUUUCACAACAAACUUCAUCAUUGAUGAUAAUUCCUGCAAAGCCAGCUUUAAUAUAUCCUUUGACGGUUCUCUUAACAUUCAUGGCAUUACCGUAUCCAUUGCCACCGUCUCCAAUCACCGGAAUUGAUACAGAUUGAGUAAUUUGUUGACCUUGAUCAACCAUUUCUCCAUAAGAAAUUAGACCCUUAUCCGGUAAACCAAGCCGAGACGCUGAAAUCGAGAACCCUAUUUGCAUAAACAGAUUCGAGUAAGUAAUCAUAGCAAAACAUACUCCUUAUCAGAUUCAGUGAAGCUAAAAAACUGUAAAGUCUUCAACUUUAUGGAGAACACAAUCAACAACAGUAGACGAUCAAAUUCACAAUAACCAGAUACAAAUUGUGAAGAAUUGGUUUAGCAAAAAUUAAUCAGUGAUGGAUUUAUAAAUCAUUACCAGAGGUGAUACAGUAAGGAAACCCAGCUCGUUCGAUGAGUUUGGCACUAAGAGCAUCGAAGCAACAUGGACCCUGAAGAACACCAGGGGAUUGCAUAAUAUUCCUUAGCUUCUUCGCCGGAGAAGAUGGAAGUUUCGCGUUUCCCGAUUCAUCGGAAACUACGGUGGAGUUAACGGCGCCACGAAAUCGUCUUGAGACAGAGAAGGGGUUCGCAAAUAAUUCUCCGACGGUUUGUGUGAAAGAAGAAGAGGCAGAAGAAGGGAAAAAACUCGAUUUGGAUUGUUUAUGAAGAAUUCGAGGAGGAGAAGAGCUGCAAAAGCUAAGUGCCGCCAUUGAAGCCUUGAAGGAUUCACUUCUGUUCGGUAAAAGAAAGAAACAGAAAUUGAUCAAAAGAAAGAAGUUGGACAAACCGAAACAACAAGAACCAGACCGAACCAGAUUUAAUAAUUAAAAAAAAAAAAAACCAUGUCACGUGAGCUUUUUUAGGGUUCACGUGAUCAUCUCUAUCGUCGAAAUACAAGCGGCGGACUUCAAAAUCAUAACUUUUUUCUUCGCUCCUCUCUUAGCAUCGCCGUGAAUCGUUGGUCUCAGUUUCUCCGUCCAUCUUUGAUUCGUCGAUCCGUAAGCAUCUAUUCAGUUUCAUGUCUUUUGUUCUAAACUUUUUGGUUUGAUUGGGGUUUUACCUUUGGUUAAUUAAAGCUUUCUAGAUUCUUAGUGUUUGGAUUGAAUUCUGUAAGGUUUGGUAAAACUAUACCAGGUUAGUUGCUAUCUAGCUGCAAUGGGUACAGAGACGGUUGUGCAUGAUCAGGCAAGAUGGGCAAUGGCUGCAAUGGAACGAAGGCUUGCUGUUGCAAAAGCUCAGCUUCUUCAACAACAACAACAGAAGAAUGAGAAAGAUAAGAAGGGGACUUCUGAUGUAGAUGUCUCUAUGAAAGAAUCUCAUCAAGCUGAUUCACUGCCUACUCCCUCAAAGACAUCAAUUAAAAAAGGUUUGAUGGUUGAGUAUAAACGAAGAAUGAUUCUCUCUAGCAACUCUUUAUUGAACUCUGAUUGUCAUGGGAAUUUGGUUUUGUAGUAGAUCCCAAGGAUGAUGAUUCUGUUGCAUAUACAAAGUUGUCCCAUCCCGUUGAUGAGAAUCUGCUGGCAACCAAUGUUAAGGUAUAUUCAGAUUCUUGAGGAGAACGAAGCUCGGCCUUCUUCUGUAUGAUAGAUAAGAUUGCUCAAUGUGUGUGUUUUUUUGUGAUUCAGUUUUCUAGUGCAAAGGGAACUAUAGUAGACAAGGUUUUGCAUAACCUUCUUCGAAGCGGUGACUCUGCUCAAAAGUACUUGCAAGGUACUAAAAGUGUGAAGCUGGAUAACUAUAUCCUUCUUGAUAAUUUUGUACAGUCACGGUCUUCGGCCUCUGGUUCUAAAAAGGCAUCACAGAAGGAUUCAAAACGUUCUAAAAGCCGUAUGUCUAUGAAGCGACUCAAGAAAUCUGGUGCUUUGCAUAUCCCUAAAGAUCUCCAAAAGUGAGUUCUUUAUAUUUUUUUUUUUUUUUUUUGCUGUCAUAUAGAUUGAACUGGCUCAGCCUAUGCAUCUGAGUCUAUUAUUUUGGUAUUCUUAAUAAAGUUUAAGUGAUUACUUGUUCACUUGUGUUUGAGUGCAGGUUUGAUUUGUUUAAGCCAAUGCAUGGUAUGUGGGAAAGUUACAUGAUGAAACUCAUCAAGGUGACCGGGUAAGCUACUUAUCUGAUUACCGAAAUACUGAUUCAAACUAUGUGCUUUCUAUAAGGACGAAACUGAUGGGAGUAAUCUAGUAUACACAAUCAUUUUAAGCUUGGUCAUCAUUCUUAGACAAUUUACUUUUUGCAGGAAGAUUCAAUUAUCUUUAACUCUUCUCUCAGCAGAUCUUCAUGGUGCUUUCAUGUUUGGUAAUCCUUCAUUCUUUCACAAAUCUGUAGUACUAGGAUAUGAUCUUUUGUCUCUCACUCACUUUCCAAAACUUAACUUCUCUGUACGCUUAAACAAACCUUAAAACUAGUCCUUUUUUUUCAUAUUGUAAUUUGUUCCAAUCAUAGCAACCUAUUUUACUUGUGACAGUUGCUGAGUGCAAGAUAGCAUCAUUCACUGGUGUACAAGGCAUAAUGGUGCGCGAGACAUCCGAAACAUUUGGAAUAAUCACACGAGAUGACAAAUUUCGAGGUAUCUUAAAGCUUUUUUCACCAAUAUAUUUGCCAUAAAUAUCUUGAAUCGUUCUCUUCCCCAGCCUCAAGGCUUAACUUAGUUAUUGUAAACAAUCUGAUACAGUUGUACCGAAGAAGCUCUCUGUCUUCAUCAUCCAACUCGACUGCUGGAAGAUUACUUUACAUGGGGACAAGUUUAUUUCAAGAGACAAUAUUGUUCAACGUUAAUGCUAAAAAUGAAGCUCUAGUCGUUUUUCUUAGCUAGUGGUAGAAAGCAACCAUUGAUGACCACAGAAGCAUCCUAAUCUCACAAGAUUUUGCUUUAGAUCUUUCCUUAUGGACCCAACAUUUUAAUAUAUUUCUUAAUCUUGAAUUUUGUAUGAAUCCUCUGUAAAUAUACUACUGUGUUAUUGUUAAUACUAAUUUUUAUUAUUAGAAAAUGAGUGCUUAUAUCUCAGAAAUCCAUCUGGGGCCACUAAUAAAGACAAGUACAGUUGAAGAUUCCAAGGUGAGUCUGACUUAACUAAAGUAAUAAUAUUUCACAUCACUGUCCUCUCUCUCUCUCUGCAGCUCUAAACUGUUUUGAAACCUAAUUGCAGAAGAAGUCCAGACAAAAAAAAGAGGAUGAAUCCAUCACAACAACACUUACCAAAGCUAUGUCCUAAGCGCCUAUUCCUCUUCUUCACUCCAUUCUUAUUGUUCUCUCUCUAUUACAUCCUCACCACUAUCAAAACCAUCACCAUCUCUUCCCAAGAUCGUCACCAUCCUCCACAGCUUCAUGUACCUUCCAUUUCCCAUUACUACUCCCUUCCAGAAACUUCAGAAAACCGAUCGUCACCACCUCCACUACUACUACCACCACCACCAU